UAGGGAAUCUUCGGCAAUGGACGAAAGUCUGACCGAGCAACGCCGCGUGAGUGAAGAAGGUUUUCGGAUCGUAAAACUCUGUUGUUAGAGAAGAACAAGGACGUUAGUAACUGAACGUCCCCUGACGGUAUCUAACCAGAAAGCCACGGCUAACUACGUGCCAGCAGCCGCGGUAAUACGUAGGUGGCAAGCGUUGUCCGGAUCUAUUGGGCGUAAAGCGAGCGCAGGCGGUUUCUUAAGUCUGAUGUGAAAGCCCCCGGCUCAACCGGGGAGGGUCAUUGGAAACUGGGAGACUUGAGUGCAGAAGAGGAGAGUGGAAUUCGAUGUGUAGCGGUGAAAUGCGUAGAUAUAUGGAGGAACACCAGUGGCGAAGGCGGCUCUCUGGUCUGUAACUGACGCUGAGGCUCGAAAGCGUGGGGAGCAAACAGG
rnacentral:rRNA from 1 species